CGUGAGUGGGAGCCCGUAGCCUUUCCUUUUCCAGACCCGGGCUCCCCCCGCACAGCUGGUUCCCAUUAGAGCAGGGCUCAGCGCCCCUGCUUCCACGAGCUCAUCAGGCAAUGCGGAAACCCAAGCCGUCACUCAUCUCACAUUCCAGCCCUGAGCAGGAGAGCAGCCAGUUCCUGCCUCGUCCGCCCUGACCCUCACUCCGCCAGCUCUUGGGACCUACCUGCGAGAAGGAGAGGCAGCAGCUGCCCAGGACCCCCAGCAGCCCACCUGGUCCAUUACAUGGGUCAGAGCAGGCCAUGAGGGGAAGGCCAGGAGUGGCAUUGCCCUCCUCCUGCAGCUCAGACCAGGACGUCCCAUGCCAGCUGCUCCACCUGUGGGUCCAGCAAGCACCCUCCAGCAUCUGGGAGCUGGAGUCUGGAUUCUGCCAAGAGGAAAUGGGGUUCACGGGGCCUCCUGGACCCUGAGCCUGGCCUCUCCUGCCACCUCUGCCCCAGGAAGCUCCAGCAUGUUGUCCCAAGCCGAGGCCUUGCCUGCUACCCUCUACCAGACCAUCACGUCCCAGUGGCUCAACAAUGUUCCGUGGAUGUCCAGGCUGCAUGGGCUGCCGCACCUCACCCAGGGCUGGUCCACCCCACCAGGGCUGUUCCACCCUACCAGGGCUGCUCCACCCCAUCAGGGCUGCUCCACCCAGCCACCAGGGCUUCUCCACCCCACCCAGGGCUGCUCCACCUCACUGGGGCUGCUCCAUCAAGCCACCAGGGCUGCUCCACCACACAGGGCUGCUCCAGCCAGCCACCAGGGCUUCUCCACCCCACCCAGGGCUGCUCCACCUCACUGGAGCUGCUCCAUCAAGCCACCAGGGCCACUCCACCACACAGGGCUGCUCCACCCCACCAGGGCUGCUCCACUCCACCCAGGGCUUCUCCACCCAGCCACCAGGGCUGCUCCACCACACAGGGCUGCUCCACCCAGGCGCCAGGGCUUCUCCACCCCACCAGGGCUGCUCCACCACACUGAGGCUGCCAGUGAGGCCCUACGUGCAUCUGAGGUGGAGCCUCCAGCUCAUUCAUCAAAAACUUUUGGGGCCGGGCCAGGAGCCCUCCCCACGACAACAGACAGGUCGGCAGCCACCCCUUCCUGCCCUCCACACACGGUGGGCCAGCUGCUAGGAGAGGCCCCGUGCUCUGCAGCAGCCAGGCACCAGCUCUCCAGCCCAUCCCCUCUGCCUCAACACCCUCCCUCCGCCCAAGUCCAAGGCCCCAGCCAGCCGCCAUGACCUGGCCCAGGAUGCUGGGUCCCUCUGCCCCACCAAGACCACUGGCUCACUGUUGCCCCUUCCAGGGGCCAGGAGGGCAGGGUCCAGGUGUGCAGACUCAGGGGUGAGUGUGCUCAGCAAACAAACAGCAAAGACUUUCUCCUGCGCAGAGCUGAUCCUGCCCUCCCAGUGCCACAUGGAGAGCAGGCUGCGUGAGGACAGGCACAGCCUGGUCUGCGAUUUAGUCAUCUAGCACACCAGCCCCAGCCGUAAGCAUGCACAUGGUGCCCGGCGCUCUCUCCAAAAUAAGACACUGGUCAGGGUUGGGAGCCAAGUGCAGAGUCCUCCAUAGGGACAGCUGAUGUUCUUGCGCAGGACUGUGCCUGUCCCAGGCACCAGGGCCUCUUCCUCACAGGAAGGGUCUCCUCUCCCCAGGACCCCGCUCCAGGCUUCUGCUUCCUGCUGCCUCGCCCCCACCACCAUGAGACACUCUGUUCAGAGACAGAUCCAAGGUGGGGGCUUCAAGGUUUAGGGCAAUAAAACACAAUUUCUUCCUGGUACAUGCCUCGGGAGCCCGCCCCAUGCCGUCCAACUGGCCUCAUGCAGCCACAGCCCUAAACGGGUUUUGGGGCCAACCAUGCCCCAGACAUGCUCUUACAGGUGCAAAAGCUGUCCAUUUGACCACUGGUGGGCCCCCUGGAAGAGUGGGUCUCACCGGAGCACCCAGGCCCUAAUUGGCAUUCCAGUGUCCCCUCAGCCUGUUUGGGUCUUGCCCUGGAGCAAACAGCCUGUCCUCCUCUCAGGCCUGCAGGCUUCCAUGAAGAGCCGGUCAGCAGUGGGACUGCAAAACACAGACCACAGCCUUCUCUCUGCUCCCGACAGUGGGUACCCUCUAGCACAUGAUCACUUCCCUCCAGUUCCAGUGGCUCUGUGCAAGGAGAGAGAAGACCCAAGUCUUGGCCAGACACUGUGAGCACCUCUGACUCAGUCUCCCAGAGCCUCCACGGACAUUUCUGGAUAGGAUCCCAGGCACUGGGGAGGUGGGGUUUGCUCCCCACAGUCCGUCAGUCCAUCCUGAGAUCCUGAGGCAGUGGGUUCACUCCCCGCAGUAUGUCAGUUCAUCCUGAGACCCUGGGGAGGUAGGCUUUCCUCCCUGCAGUCUGUCCGUCCAUCCUGAGAUUGUGGGGAGGUGGGCUUUCCUCCCUGCAGUGUCAGUCCCUCCUGAGAUCCUGGGGAAGUGGGCUUCGCUUCCUGCAGUCUGUCAGUCCAUCCUGAGAUCGUGGGGACAUGGGCUUCACUCCCUACAGUCUGUCAGUCCAUCCUGAGAUCGUGGGGACGUGGGCUUCACUCCCUGCAGUCUGUCAGUCUAUUCUGAGAUCGUGAGGAGGUGGGCCUCACUCCCCUCCCUCUGUCAGUCCAUCUUGAUAUCUGUCCACAGCGCUCAGCCCUGG
rnacentral:lncRNA from 1 species